rnacentral:rRNA from 1 species
CGCAGCCGCGGUAAUUCCAGCUCCAAUAGCGUAUAUUAAAGUUGUUGCAGUUAAAAAGCUCGUAGUUGAAUUUCGGGGUUAGUAGGUCGGUCAUGCCACUGGUAUGUACUGGUCUCACUGAUUCCUCCUUCCUGAUGAACCGUAAUGCCAUUAAUUUGGUGUUGCGGGGAGACUGGACUGUUACUUUGAAAAAAUUAGAGUGUUUAAAGCAGGCUAACGCUUGAAUACAUUAGCAUGGAAUAAUGAAAUAGGACGUUCGAUCCUAUUUUGUUGGUUUCUAGGAUUGACGUAAUGAUUAAUAGGGAUAGUUGGGGGCAUUAGUAUUCAAUUGUCAGAGGUGAAAUUCUUGGAUUUAUUGAAGACUAACUACUGCGAAAGCAUUUGCCAAGGAUGUUUUCAUUAAUCAAGAACGAAAGUUAGGGGAUCGAAGACGAUCAGAUACCGUCGUAGUCUUAACCAUAAACUAUGCCGACUAGGGAUCGGAUGAUGUUAAUUUUUAAUGUACCCUAUUCGGCGUCCG